AGGUGAACAAGCUGGAAAGCUUGGCGAUACAGGGUGAUAGCCCCGUAACCGACGCUUCAUCGAGCGUGAAAUCGAGUAGGGCGGGACACGUGAUAUCCUGUCUGAAUAUGGGGGGACCAUCCUCCAAGGCUAAAUACUCCUGACUGACCGAUAGUGAACCAGUACCGUGAGGGAAAGGCGAAAAGAACCCCUGUGAGGGGAGUGAAAUAGAACCUGAAACCGUGUACGUACAAGCAGUAGGAGCACCUUCGUGGUGUGACUGCGUACCUUUUGUAUAAUGGGUCAGCGACUUAUAUUCAGUGGCAAGGUUAACCGUAUAGGGGAGCCGUAGCGAAAGCGAGUCUUAACUGGGCGCUCAGUCUCUGGAUAUAGACCCGAAACCGGGUGAUCUAGCCAUGGGCAGGUUGAAGGUUGAGUAACAUCAACUGGAGGACCGAACCGACUAAUGUUGAAAAAUUAGCGGAUGACUUGUGGCUAGGGGUGAAAGGCCAAUCAAACUCGGAGAUAGCUGGUUCUCCCCGAAAGCUAUUUAGGUAGCGCCUCGGACGAAUACUACUGGGGGUAGAGCACUGUUAAGGCUAGGGGGUCAUCCCGACUUACCAACCCUUUGCAAACUCCGAAUACCAGUAAGUACUAUCCGGGAGACACACGGCGGGUGCUAACGUCCGUCGUGGAGAGGGAAACAACCCAGACCGCCAGCUAAGGUCCCAAAGUAUUGCUAAGUGGGAAACGAUGUGGGAAGGCUCAGACAGCUAGGAUGUUGGCUUAGAAGCAGCCAUCAUUUAAAGAAAGCGUAAUAGCUCACUAGUCGAGUCGGCCUGCGCGGAAGAUGUAACGGGGCUAAGCAAUACACCGAAGCUGCGGCAAUAUCUUUUAGAUAUUGGGUAGGGGAGCGUUCUGUAAGCCGUUGAAGGUGAAUCGUAAGGUUUGCUGGAGGUAUCAGAAGUGCGAAUGCUGACAUGAGUAACGACAAAGGGGGUGAAAAACCUCCUCGCCGGAAGACCAAGGGUUCCUGUCCAACGUUAAUCGGGGCAGGGUGAGUCGACCCCUAAGGUGAGGCCGAAAGGCGUAAUCGAUGGGAAACGGGUUAAUAUUCCCGUACUUCUGACUAUUGCGAUGGGGGGACGGAGAAGGCUAGGUGGGCCAGGCGACGGUUGUCCUGGUUCAAGUGCGUAGGCUUGAGAGUUAGGUAAAUCCGGCUCUCUCUAAGGCUGAGACACGACGUCGAGCUGCUACGGCAGUGAAGUCAUUGAUGCCAUGCUUCCAGGAAAAGCCUCUAAGCUUCAGAUAGUCAGGAAUCGUACCCCAAACCGACACAGGUGGUCGGGUAGAGAAUACCAAGGCGCUUGAGAGAACUCGGGUGAAGGAACUAGGCAAAAUGGUACCGUAACUUCGGGAGAAGGUACGCUCUUGAUGGUGAAGUCCCUCGCGGAUGGAGCUGACGAGAGUCGCAGAUACCAGGUGGCUGCAACUGUUUAUUAAAAACACAGCACUGUGCAAAAUCGCAAGAUGACGUAUACGGUGUGACGCCUGCCCGGUGCCGGAAGGUUAAUUGAUGGGGUUAGCGCAAGCGAAGCUCUUGAUCGAAGCCCCGGUAAACGGCGGCCGUAACUAUAACGGUCCUAAGGUAGCGAAAUUCCUUGUCGGGUAAGUUCCGACCUGCACGAAUGGCGUAAUGAUGGCCACGCUGUCUCCACCCGAGACUCAGUGAAAUUGAAAUCGCUGUGAAGAUGCAGUGUACCCGCGGCUAGACGGAAAGACCCCGUGAACCUUUACUACAGCUUGGCACUGAACAUUGAACCUACAUGUGUAGGAUAGGUGGGAGGCUAUGAAGACGUGACGCCAGUUGCGUUGGAGCCGUCCUUGAAAUACCACCCUUGUAUGUUUGAUGUUCUAACUUAGACCCAUUAUCUGGGUUGAGGACAGUGCCUGGUGGGUAGUUUGACUGGGGCGGUCUCCUCCCAAAGAGUAACGGAGGAGCACGAAGGUGGGCUAAUCACGGUUGGACAUCGUGAGGUUAGUGCAAUGGCAUAAGCCCGCUUAACUGCGAGAAUGACGGUUCGAGCAGGUGCGAAAGCAGGUCAUAGUGAUCCGGUGGUUCUGUAUGGAAGGGCCAUCGCUCAACGGAUAAAAGGUACUCCGGGGAUAACAGGCUGAUACCGCCCAAGAGUUCAUAUCGACGGCGGUGUUUGGCACCUCGAUGUCGGCUCAUCACAUCCUGGGGCUGAAGUCGGUCCCAAGGGUAUGGCUGUUCGCCAUUUAAAGUGGUACGCGAGCUGGGUUUAGAACGUCGUGAGACAGUUCGGUCCCUAUCUGCCGUGGGCGUUGGAAGAUUGAAGGGGGCUGCUCCUAGUACGAGAGGACCGGAGUGGACGAACCUCUGGUGUUCGGGUUGUGUCGCCAGACGCAUUGCCCGGUAGCUAAGUUCGGAAUUGAUAAGCGCUGAAAGCAUCUAAGCGCGAAGCGAGCCCUGAGAUGAGUCUUCCCUGACAGUUUAACUGUUCUAAAGGGUUGUUCGAGACUAGAACGUUGAUAGGCAGGGUGUGUAAGCGUUGUGAGGCGUUGAGCUAACCUGUACUAAUUGCCCGUGAGGCUUAACCA
rnacentral:rRNA from 1 species